AAGAUUGACGGCUGAGUAGG
rnacentral:miRNA from 1 species